AAAUUGAAGAGUUUGAUCAUGGCUCAGAUUGAACGCUGGCGGCAGGCCUAACACAUGCAAGUCGAGCGGUAGCACAAAGAGCUUGCUCUCGGGUGACGAGCGGCGGACGGGUGAGUAAUGUCUGGGAAACUGCCUGAUGGAGGGGGAUAACUACUGGAAACGGUAGCUAAUACCGCAUAACGUCGCAAGACCAAAGUGGGGGACCUUCGGGCCUCAUGCCAUCAGAUGUGCCCAGAUGGGAUUAGCUAGUAGGUGGGGUAAUGGCUCACCUAGGCGACGAUCCCUAGCUGGUCUGAGAGGAUGACCAGCCACACUGGAACUGAGACACGGUCCAGACUCCUACGGGAGGCAGCAGUGGGGAAUAUUGCACAAUGGGCGCAAGCCUGAUGCAGCCAUGCCGCGUGUGUGAAGAAGGCCUUCGGGUUGUAAAGCACUUUCAGCGGGGAGGAAGGCGAUAAGGUUAAUAACCUUGUCGAUUGACGUUACCCGCAGAAGAAGCACCGGCUAACUCCGUGCCAGCAGCCGCGGUAAUACGGAGGGUGCAAGCGUUAAUCGGAAUUACUGGGCGUAAAGC
rnacentral:rRNA from 1 species